rnacentral:rRNA from 1 species
UACGUAGGGUGCGAGCGUUGUCCGGAAUUAUUGGGCGUAAAGAGCUCGUAGGCGGCUUGUCGCGUCGGAUGUGAAAGCCCGGGGCUUAACUCCGGGUCUGCAUUCGAUACGGGCAGGCUAGAGUUCGGUAGGGGAGAUCGGAAUUCCUGGUGUAGCGGUGAAAUGCGCAGAUAUCGGGAAGAACACCCGUGGCGAAGGCGGUUCUCUGGGACGGUACUGACGCUGAGACGCGAAAGCGUGGGGAGCGAACAGG